CCUCUACAAUGCACGCAAGUGUGAUAGGGCAACCCUUCGUGCUUAUCUAACGAUAGGCUUUUAUUAUGUGUAAUGGGCAUAAUGAAUAAGUGGUGGGCAAGACUGGUGCCAGCAGCCGCGGUAAUACCAGCGCCACGAGUGGAGAUCACUAUUAUUGGGUCUAAAGAGUUCGUAGCUGGUUUUGUAAGUCUUUUGUGAAAUUUCCUUGGCUUAACCAGGAAAUUGCAAGAGAUACUGCAAGACUUGAGACCGGGAAGGAUAAGAAGUAUUGUUUGGGUAGCGGUUAAAUGUUUUAAUCCUUACAAGACUAACUAAGGCGAAGGCAUCUUAUUAGAACGGAUCUGACAGUGAGGAACGAAAGCUGGGGGAGCGAACCGGAUUAGAUACCCCCGUAGU
rnacentral:rRNA from 1 species